rnacentral:rRNA from 1 species
AGUGAACGCUGGCGGUAGGCCUAACACAUGCAAGUCGAACGGCAGCACAGUAAGAGCUUGCUCUUACGGGUGGCGAGUGGCGGACGGGUGAGGAAUACAUCGGAAUCUACUUUUUCGUGGGGGAUAACGUAGGGAAACUUACGCUAAUACCGCAUACGACCUACGGGUGAAAGCAGGGGAUCUUCGGACCUUGCGCGAUUGAAUGAGCCGAUGUCGGAUUAGCUAGUUGGCGGGGUAAAGGCCCACCAAGGCGACGAUCCGUAGCUGGUCUGAGAGGAUGAUCAGCCACACUGGAACUGGGACACGGUCCAGACUCCUGCGGGAGGCAGCAGUGGGGAAUAGUAGGCAAUGGGCGCAAGCCUGAUCCAGCCAUACCGCGUGGGUGAAGAAGGCCUUCGGGUUGUAAAGCCCUUUUGUUGGGAAAGAAAAGCAGCAGGUUAAUACCCCGCUGUUCUGACGGUACCCAAAGAAUAAGCACCGGCUAACUUCGUG